AUCAAUUUAACUGUGUAUGAGUGAGGGUAGAGCUUAUGAUAGUGUGAGUUGCAACUAUAGAAAUACAUAAAACCUGUCAGCGAAAUAAAAAGAGAUAGAGCAUGGGAGGUUGAUGUUGUCUCUCUCUAAUCUGCGCUGAGCGGCGCAUGCGCAUUAGUCUGCUAGUAGAGAUUAAGAUAGAUGGUAUCAUAUACAUACGUGUAUAAGCACGACAAGUCUAAUGCGCAUGCGCCGGUACCGCAUGUGUUAGAGAGAGACACAUCAACCUUUCGUUUUUUGUUGUUAUAUUCAUGCAGAGACAUUUCCACUUACACAACCGUCUAUUGUGUUGAAGAAUGCAAUGAAUGCAUCGAAUGCAAAUUCUCUUAUAAAUUGCAACAGCUAUUUGGAUGAAAUUAAAGAAGUAUUGUAAAAAAGAGUGGGUAUCUGUAAAAAUAUAAAAGUUAUUAAAAAAUAUUAUAACGUAAUUAGUUUCUGUAAGUGAAAUGGAUAAAAGGAAUGAAUGAAAGGAAUAAAAGAAAUAUGAUAUUAAUUAGGAAGUGAAAAGAAACUAAUUACAAUUAUAAUAUUUAUGGUAAGCGGUCUUUGGCUAGUUUUUACUUGCAAUGGAAUGUAUAUUAUAUAAAAAUAUGAUAAACAUUAUAUUGAAAGUAAAAUACCAUUGCCCGGGUCUAACCACGAGGAGGUAACCGCUUCUGAAGACCCAGGAGGGAUGUGCAUCCUAAAAAUGCUCACAUCCGAAUAUCAUUCAAAGGAAUUAACCUAACUCUUAGGCCCCACCAUAAGAGUACCAUCAUAAAAAAUUCUUAGAAUUAUUAUUAAGAAUAGCAAAAAAAAAAAAUACAAA